AUGAACGCUGGCGGCGUGCCUAAUCCCUGCAAGUCGAGCGCACAGACGAGGAGCUUGCUCCUUUGACGUUAGCGGCGGACGGGUGAGUAACACGUGGAUAACCUACCUAUAAGACUGGGAUAACUUCGGGAAACCGGAGCUAAUACCGGAUAACAUGUUGAACCGCAUGGUUCAACAGUGAAAGACGGUCUUGCUGUCACUUAUAGAUGGAUCCGCGCCGCAUUAGCUAGUUGGUAAGGUAACGGCUUACCAAGGCAACGAUGCGUAGCCGACCUGAGAGGGUGAUCGGCCACACUGGAACUGAGACACGGUCCAGACUCCUACGGGAGGCAGCAGUAGGGAAUCUUCCGCAAUGGGCGAAAGCCUGACGGAGCAACGCCGCGUGAGUGAAGAAGGUCUUCGGAUCGUAAAACUCUGUUAUUAGGGAAGAACAAAUGUGUAAGUAACUAUGCACGUCUUGACGGUACCUAAUCAGAAAGCCACGGCUAACUACGUG
rnacentral:rRNA from 1 species